rnacentral:rRNA from 1 species
UGGGGAAUUUUGGACAAUGGGCGAAAGCCUGAUCCAGCAAUGCCGCGUGUGUGAAGAAGGCCUUCGGGUUGUAAAGCACUUUUGUCCGGAAAGAAAUCCUUGGCUCUAAUACAGUCGGGGGAUGACGGUACCGGAAGAAUAAGCACCGGCUAACUACGUGCCAGCAGCCGCGGUAAUACGUAGGGUGCAAGCGUUAAUCGGAAUUACUGGGCGUAAAGCGUGCGCAGGCGGUUUGCUAAGACCGAUGUGAAAUCCCCGGGCUCAACCUGGGAACUGCAUUGGUGACUGGCAGGCUAGAGUAUGGCAGAGGGGGGUAGAAUUCCACGUGUAGCAGUGAAAUGCGUAGAGAUGUGGAGGAAUACCGAUGGCGAAGGCAGCCCCCUGGGCCAAAUACUGACGCUCAUGCACGAAAAGCGUGGGGAGCAAACAGGAUUAGAUACCCUGGUAGUCCACGCCCUAAAACGAUGUCAACUAGUUGUUGGGGAUUCAUUUCCUUAGUAACGUAGCUAACGCGUGAAGUUGACCGCCUGGGGGGUACGGUCGCAAGAUUAAAACUCAAAGGAAUUGACGGGGUCAUA